rnacentral:misc_RNA from 1 species
UCCCGGUUGGCCCGGGCAGUCUCGCGUGAAAAAUUCAACACACGACAAGGGUUGCGCUCGUUGCGGGACUUAACCCAACAUCUCACGACACGAGCUGACGACGGCCAUGCAGCACCUGUCACCUGGUUCCCGAAGGCACUCCAGCAUUUCUGCCGGAUUCCAGGGAUGUCAAGCCUCGGUAAGGUUCUUCGCGUAUCGUCGAAUUAAACCCCAUGCUCCACUGCUUGUGCGGGUCCCCGUCAAUUCCUUUGAGUUUUAAGCUUGCGCUCGUACUCCCCAGGCGGCAUGCUUAUCGCGUUAGCUUCUCAGCCCAAGGGGUCGAUACCUCGAACUAAUAGCAUGCAUCGUUUACGGCGUGGACUAC